rnacentral:rRNA from 1 species
UCAUAGUAUAGCAGUUUCGCAUGAAACACUAUUAAAGUCACAACGGUGAAAGAUGAGCAUGCGUCCCAUUAGCUAGUUGGUAAGGUAACGGCUUACCAAGGCAACGAUGGGUAGGGGUCCUGANAGGGAGAUCCCCCACACUGGUACUGAGACACGGACCAGACUCCUACGGGAGGCAGCAGUGAGGAAUAUUGGACAAUGGGCGCAAGCCUGAUCCAGCCAUGCCGCGUGCAGGAUGACGGUCCUAUGGAUUGUAAACUGCUUUUUAUACAGGAAGAAACCCUCCCACGUGUGGGAGCUUGACGGUACUGUAGGAAUAAGGAUCGGCUAACUUCGUG